UUUUUUUUCCUAAUGUGCUCUGCUCACGGGAGGAUGUCGAGGAGAUUGCUGCAGGUACAGUCCUGCAGGCUGGCUGAAAAAGGUCGCUCAAUGAACGCGCGAUCCGGCUGUCAAGUUCAAUCGCCCAUGCAGUUGUCGCCAGAAGGCUACCGUUGGACUCUCUUGGCGAACAGAUUAAACGCAGGAAGCCCUUCUUUGGGAAGGCCGUUAUGCACGGGCAAAAGACGGAAGCUGUAGCCAGGGAACAGUUUGAGCUGAAAAUAGGAGGGCGUGUUUUGCAGGUAUGUGGUGAGCUGCAUGAAGGUCUGUAAUGCUGGAAAAAUUUGCAUGGAAGUUGCAAUGACCACAGCAGAUUUUCAGUUGGGUACAUA
rnacentral:lncRNA from 1 species